ensembl:lncRNA
GCAGAAACAGAAUAAACAGGUCUUGCCAAAUUCCCCCUGUAACCAGCCACCAUUAGCAUUAGAUCACACUGUAACCAGUUUUCUCUCUCUGCACUCUUGUCAUGAGGAUAACAAAGAAUGAAGCCAACAGGACAGAGGUGCCAUGUAUGCACCAAGGUAAAACACUGGAAGCUGGACUUCACCGAGAUAAAGAAGAAAUGGAGGACAAAUCAAAGAUUUGAUUAAAUGGACCAGAACCAGUGGGAAAUGUGAGACCCAACUCAGCAAAUCCAGCACCAUGUUGAGAACAUUCUCCUCCGUUUUGAAAAAUAUGUGACUUCCAGUUGCACUCUGUCUCCCAGGAGAAAACCCCACCCCUAACCAAUAAACAGAAACUGUGUUUCAGGUGAUCUUCCACAAACCAUUACCCAGGGGAAUGGGAGGAAUUAACUGUGCUCAUCCUGGCUUCUGUAACCAGCUUCUGCAAUAAUCUGUAACCCAGGGGAAUGGGAGGAGG